ensembl:lncRNA
CCCGCCCGGGCUGCAGCUGCUGCCGCGAUCGCGGUGCAGGAUCCCGCCCGCUCCACAGCUGGAGGGAAAAAGGAACGCGCGGGCCAGAGGCUCCGGCAAGAGUGCUGGACAGACGCUUUACCGUCUGAGCCACCAAGGAAGCCCAACACAGAGGAAGAAAGCAUUUUGAUGGCACUGGCCCAACCUCUGCGUGGAGUUCAUCCCAGACGGUAUGAUUCUGAGGUCUGCACCCCACCUCGCUCCAUCCCCAGGCCCAUCCUCC